rnacentral:rRNA from 1 species
CAGAAAAUAACUUUUUUAAUAUUAAAAAUUAAAAUUUUUUUAAUUUGUGCAGAAACAAUUAUAACAAUUAAGGACAAGAAGACCCUAAGAAUUUAUAAAUUUAAUUAAUAUUUUUUUAUGCUAAUUAAAUUUUAACUGGGGCGGUUAAGAAAUAUUAAAAACUUUUUGGAAUAAUAUGACCCAUUAAUAAUGACUGUAUGAAAAAAUACUCUAGGGAUAACAGCGUUAUAUUUUUUGAUAGAUCAUAUUGACAAAA